GUGCCUGCUUCGGCAGUACAUAUACUAAAAUUGGAAUGGUAUAGAGAAGAUUAGGAUGGCCCCUGUGCUAGGAUGACACGCACAAGAAUUCGUGAAGUGUUCCAUAUUAAA
ensembl:snRNA Gm26327 predicted gene, 26327